rnacentral:rRNA from 1 species
UGCANGCGUUGUCCGGAAUUAUUGGGCGUAAAGAGCUCGUAGGCGGUUUGUCGCGUCUGCUGUGAAAUCCCGAGGCUCAACCUCGGGCUUGCAGUGGGUACGGGCAGACUAGAGUGCGGUAGGGGAGAUUGGAAUUCCUGGUGUAGCGGUGGAAUGCGCAGAUAUCAGGAGGAACACCGAUGGCGAAGGCAGAUCUCUGGGCCGUAACUGACGCUGAGGAGCGAAAGCAUGGGGAGCGAACAGGAUUAGAUACCCUGGUAGUCCAUGCCGUAAACGUUGGGCGCUAGAUGUAGGGACCUUUCCACGGUUUCUGUGUCGUAGCUAACGCAUUAAGCGCCCCGCCUGGGGAGUACGGCCGCAAGGCUAAAACUCAAAGGAAUUGACGGGGGCCCGCACAAGCGGCGGAGCAUGCGGAUUAAUUCGAUGCAACGCGAAGAACCUUACCAAGGCUUGACAUACACCGGAAACGGCCAGAGAUGGUCGCCCCCUUGUGGUCGGUGUACAGGUGGUGCAUGGUUGUCGUCAGCUCGUGUCGUGAGAUGUUGGGUUAAGUCCCGCAACGAGCGCAACCCUCGUUCUAUGUUGCCAGCGGGUUAUGCCGGGGACUCAUAGGAGACUGCCGGGGUCAACUCGGAGGAAGGUGGGGAUGACGUCAAAUCAUCAUGCCCCUUAUGUCUUGGGCUUCACGCAUGCUACAAUGGCCGGUACAAAGGGCUGCGAUACCGUAAGGUGGAGCGAAUCCCAAAAAGCCGGUCUCAGUUCGGAUUGAGGUCUGCAACUCGACCUCAUGAAGUCGGAGUCGCUAGUAAUCGCAGAUCAGCAACGCUGCGGUGAAUACGUUCCCGGGCCUU